GACAUGUCCAUUUCCCCUCCAACACUUUCUCAAGUAACAAUGAAUCUGUUUGAAUGAUGACUUGUGUGUACUGCCACUAAUUGCAAUGUUUACUGCUUUCAAAACAGGUCUUGUUUUUGCUAGUGUAUUUGUGGUUUUAUCCAUGAUAGCUCCUUCAAUAUGUAGUAAGACCCCCUUUGAAUCCCUUAGGCAGUAGGAAUAAUAACUUAAUCCCGAUUACCUCUUGAUGCUUCGUUUGUAUUGUGUUUGACUCGUCCUUUAGGAGGAUACUCCCACAAUACCUUGGUCACUUUAGUUCUAGGACAAUAUUCCUCCAGCUCUACCAAUAUUUCUAGCCAAUUUCUUGAAAACCUCCUACUAGGUUUCCUUACUCUUAGAAGCAUAUACAUAGUCCUAGUCAACAUUAUGAAUAUAUUACGAUAUAAUGGACACACAAGGCCCAACUCUUACUAUCAGUACCAAAUCAAUGGCCCAAUUCAUUUGUUAUAUAUAUAUACAGAGAAUGAACUUUCUAGAGGUAGAUUAGAUAAUUUUCUGUUAUGUACAGUUUCCAAAGGCAGCCUGAACUCUCUCAAUUUCUAACUUCAAUCAAUGAAUCUCAAUGCAUUUUAUUCUUCGAUUUCUAUAUUUCUCGCAAAUCUAACAUGGUAUCAAAGCGGGAAUACAGCUCUCUCACACUCCAACAAUUGAAUGGUGUUAUAGUCAUCGUCUCCCAUGAAUUUAGGGUGUUCCGACGACGGUUUUAAGUUUUCUGACGGCGGCGUUUCGACGGGCGAUCCUGAGGUUUUCCUAUAUUGAGUAUGAUGACAUCAAUAUUUGUGGUACCAGUUUCGACGGCAUUUGUAUGAGGUUUUCCUUCACCAGUUUUUCCCCAAUUUUCCGUCGCACAUUGGUUUUUUUUUUUUUUUUGAAGAAAUAUGGUACUAUCCUUCCUCUCUAUUGAUAGACCGAAGCAUAUAACAUCUAGUUUUUGUUUACAACAAUGCCUGAUAACUCAUCUAAUAGCACAGGCACUGAGGGUUUUAUACCCUUCUCUGUUGAUCAUUCUCAUCCAUUUUAUAUGCAUCCAUCAGAUAAUCCCGGCACCCAACUUACUACCGUACCAUUCAAUGAAAAUGACUUUGUUAGUUGGAGGAAAAGCAUGAUGAUUUCUCUUUCUGUCAAAAAUAAACUAGGGUUAAUCACUGGUAGAAACCCUAAGCCUCCUCCUGAAUCUCCUUAUUAUCCUUAUUAGGAAAGAUGCAAUAACAUGGUCAUUGCUUGGAUAACAAAUUCUCUAUCUAGAAACAUAGCUAUAAGUGUCAUUGGAUUUGAUACUGGUAAAGAAAUUUGGGAUGAUAUCAAUGACAGAUAUGGACAAUCAAAUGGGUACCUUUAAUUACAAAAGGAAUUAGGUAAUACUGUCCAGGGAACCUCUGAUGUGGCAUCCUAUUUCACUCGACUAACGACUAAGGGGCAUUUGGGAUGAACUUAACACUACAUUUGUAGGGCCAACUUGCACUUGUGGUGCUUUACCAAAAUUCCUUGAGGAACAAAAAUCAUUUCAGUUUCUUGGAGGGCUCAAUGAAGUCUAUUCUACUUGUAAAAGCAAUGUCCUCAUGAUGAGUCCUCUUCCUAGCCUUGGCAAGCCAUAUUCCAUGAUUCAACAUGAUGAGAAACAAAAGGAACACUCUGCUGUUCCAUCUUCUUUAUCCACGGACUCAAUGUCAUUCCAUGCAUCCUAUGGAUUUCAAGGUGCAUCUCCUUCUAGAUAUGGUGAUAUGAAUAAAUGUUGAUCUUUUUAAAACCCUGGUAGGAGAUAUAAUCAAGGAAGGAACUAUCCCCCUCCGAAGAAAUUUUCAUCUGAUGUUUCAAAUCCUGUACAUGGAGGUGGUAGACCUUACACUCAGAAAAUCCAAUUUGAUUCCAAGUCAACAAUAGCCAUAUUAUUUGCAGAUAUUGUAAGAAAAGUGGCCACAUUAUGGAGAAAUAUCACAAACUCCAUGGAUAUCCUUCAGAUUUUCAGUUUACUAAGACUAAGAAAUCGGUUGCAUGUGCCCAAGUUGGCUUACCCUCUAGUUAUCCUCACCAGUCUAUUGUACCUCUAUCUCAACAUGGCAACCAUAAUGAUCAGUAUCAUCAUGUUUUGCAUCAAUUUGACCAAACUCACUUGUCUUCUAGUCUUCCAUCAGAUGACUCCACAGAUGCAGAACAUUCAGGGUUUGCUAAUUUUCCAGGUAUGUUCAAUAGCAUCUUUAACAGUCCUAGCAUACAUUCUGUUGGUCUACAUGUAUGUGCAACAUCUCAGUUAGGUGUAUUUUCUUGGAUCUUAGAUUCUGGGGCUACCAACCACAUGACCCCACAUAAACACUUACUUCACAACCUUCAACCUAUUUCCACACCCUUCCUUACCCUUCCAAAUGGUUAUAAGGUCAAAGUUGUUUCAACAGGUUCUCUAAUUUUAAGACAUGAUAUGAUAUUACAAAAUGUCCUUCUUGUUCCUUCUUUUCAAUUCAAUUUAAUUUCCAUAUUUCAGCUUGUUAAUUAGUUUGAUUGUUAUGCUUUUUUUACUAAGUCCACUUGCUUUUUACAGGCCCCUUCUCUUAAGAGGCCACUGGAACUUGGUAAAACUGCAAGGGGCUUAUAUUUUCUAUGUCCGGAAAACAUAUCCUCAGUUGAUGCAUCAUGCAUUCCAGGAUUGUCUAUUUUCUCUACUACAAAUACUCUCAUUCCUAAUGUUCCAGAUUCUGCUACAACUAUGUCACCACAUAUCUUACCUUCUACAAAUAAUUCUAUACCUGUAGUUAAUACUCCUAAUGAUAAUUCAAUCAGUACUUCAAUCUGUGCUACAGUUCCUGAUGUAUUUCUUAAUUCUUCUUGUACUAUUCCAUCAAAUAUAAUAAAAGUGAUUUGUUUUGGCAUAAAAGACUUGGGCAUAUGCCUUUUUAUAAAAUGAUAGUAUCUUUUUUUUAUCUGAUAAAUGGUCCUCCAAACCGCCUUUUAUAUACUCUAUAUGCCCUAUGGCUAGACAACAAAGACUACUAUUUCCGGAGAGUAGUAUUCAUACUACUCAACCUUUUUAAUUAGUUCACACUGACACUUGGGGACCUUACAAUACCCAAACUUAUAAUGGUUUUCGUUAGUUUCUUACUUUUGUAGAUGACUAUUCUAGAUCCACUUGAACUCAUCUCUUACCUUCAAAAGGUGCUGCUUUAACUGUCAUUAAAGUUUUCACCUCAAUGAUUAAAACUUAGUUUUAGUCCACAAUUCAAUGUUUUCGAUCUGACAAUGCCUUUGAAUUAGGCAGUGGUGCUGCAGCAUCUCAUUUUCUUUCAAAAAACGGCAUUAUACAUCAAACUACCAUCCCUCACACUCCUCAACAAAAUAGAGUGGUGGAGAGGAAGCACAAACAUCUUCUCGAGACCUCUAGAGCCUUAUUGUAUCAAUCCAAAUUACCCAAAAAAUAUUGGGGUGAUUGUGUGUUAACUGCAACCUAUCUCAUUAAUCAUUUUUCUUCUUCAGUUCUAAAAAAUAAAUCCCCUUUUGAGGUGCUGCAUCAGUCUCCCCUUCUUAUGCACAUUUAAAAUCUUUUGGUUGUCUGUGUUUUGCUACAUCUCCCAAAUUUGGUAGAGAUAAAUUUCAAAUCAGGGCUAUACCUUCAGUUUUUUUGGGAUAUCCAUUUGGCAAGAAAGGCUAUAAACUUUUGAACCUUACCAGUCAUUUCAUUUUUUAUUCAAGGGAUAUCGUUUUUCAUGAGCAUAUCUUCCCUUACAAUUGCCCUACUCCUUCUUUAUUUCCUACCCCUGCUUUCUCUUUCUCUGAUGAUACUGACAUACCCAUCUCCUCUUCUUCUGUUUCUUCUCUUCCUCCAGCUGCUAUUCCUUCUUCUUCCUCCCCCUCUAUAUUACCUCCUUUUAUUUUCACUAGACACUCUACUCAACCUGUUCACAGACCUGCUUACUUAAAAGACUAUGCCUUCUCCUUCAUUCACUCCCCGAACCUUGAAUCUCCUGUAUCCAAGUUUGCAUCUACUAAGGUUCACUUGCAUGAACCCCAACAUUAUGAUCAGGCUGCUGCUAUACCAGCUUGGCAGGAAGCCAUGCACAAAGAAUUUCAAGCUCUUGAGGCUAAUUCAACUUGGGUUAUAGUUCUCUUUUACCCCUCGUAAGAAAGUUAUUUCAUGUAAGUGGGUUUACAAGAUCAAACUGAAAUCUGAUGGCUCGAUAGAAAGAUAUAAAGCUCGUUUAGUCAUUCGAGAUGAUACUAAAAAACAAGGGGUGGACUUUACUGAAACUUUUUCUCCGGUGGUUAAGCUUACCACCAUCAAAUGUCUUCUUACUGUAGCUGCAAAAAGGGUAUGGACAGUGUUUCAAUUGGAUGUCAAUAACACAUUUCUUCAUGGUGAUAUCCAUGAGGAAGUAUACAUGAAAUUACCACCCGGCCUCAUUGUUACUUGAGAUUCUUGUUCUUCUUUGGCUUGUCAUCUUAAAAAGUCCUUGUAUGGCCUUCGUCAAGUGUCUAGACAAUGGUUUUCAAAACUUUCUAAAGCCUUAUUAUCUCGAGGUUAUUCAUCUAGUAAGAAUGAUUAUUCUUUGUUUACAAAGUGUACUGACACUAGCCGUGUUGUUCUAGCUGUAUACGUUGAUGAUAUACUUCUUGCUGGGGAUGAUUUACUUGAGCUGAAUUCUCUUAAAUCUUUUCUUAACAAUCAGUUCAAGAUUAAAGAUUUAGGUUCCCUGCAUUAUUUUCUUGGUUUGGAGGUAUCUUCACAUUGUCAAGGGUAUAUGGUCAGUCAACACAAAUAUACUCUUGAUUUACUUCACGAGUUUAGCUGUCACAACUAUUCCCCUGUUAUGAAUCCUUUGGAUUAUUCUCUUAAGUUGACUGCUGAUAUGGGUGCCCCAAUGUCUGAUCCUAGCUCCUUUAGAUGGCUAGUUGGAAAGCUCAAUUUUCUUCAACACACGAGGCCUGACAUCUCAUUUGCAGUGCAAUAUUUAAGUUUACAAUGCCCUCAAAUUCCAUAUAUGCUGGCAGCAAUACAUGUUAUACGUUAUCUCAUGGGAUGUCCUGAUCAGGAUACACGCAGGUCUGUCACUGGGUUUAUUUGCUUCCUUGGCGCCAGUCCUGUUUCUUGGAAAUGGAAGAAGCAACCUACCAUUUUUCUUUCUUUCGCUGAGGCUAAGUAUAGAGCUUUUCGGAAGGUGGUUACUGAAAUUGUUUAGUUGAUUCGUCUACUUGGUGAUUUUGGUGUCAAUGUCUCUUCUCCUGUUCCCAUAUUUUAUGAUAGUCAGCUCAGGACAGUUGGCUGAUGUCCUUACCAAAUCCCUGCUAGGUCCUGCUCACCAUUCUCUUCUUCACAAGCUUGGCGUGUCGACACCCUCCAGCUUGAGGGAGGUGUUACGAUAUAAUGGACACACGAGGCCCAACUAUUACUAUCUGUACCCGGCCCAAAUCAAUGGCUGAAUUCAUUUGUUAUAUAUAUAUAUACAGAGAAUGAACUUUCUAGAGGUAGAUUAGAUAAUUUUCUGUUAUGUACAGUUUCCAAAGGCAGCCUGAAUUCUCUCAAUUUCUAACUUCAAUCAAUGAAUCUCAAUACAUUUUAUUCUUCGAUUUC